GCUGGGCAUGGUGGUGCACGCCUGUAAUCCCAGUGGUUUGGGAGGCUGAGAUAGGAGGAUCACAAGUUCAAAGCCAGCCUCAGUAAAAAGUGAGGUGCUAAGCAACUCCAUGAAACCCUGUCUCUA
rnacentral:sRNA from 1 species